GGAAGUGUGUGUCUUCUGUUUGUGAUGGCACGUAGCUGGACAUUGAUCGCUAGACCGUUAUUAGUGUUUGCAGAUCUGCUCAGUGGCAUCCGUCACACUAUUGUUUCCCCAAUAAAAUUUGCUUGGCAGACGUUUGGUGCUGAAAUUCAAAUGCCGGUCUUCUGUUGCAACGACGACGGGUCGUGACGCACAGUCAAGCCGAUGUCUCCCAGGAGCUAGUGGCGAAUGGUGUUGUUGGUUUCCGCCGCAUCAUUCAACAAAGCUCCUGGUGUGUUUACAUUCGCUGUGAGACCAGCAUCGGAUUUCCCAGUCUGUCGUUUUCAAAAUUUCUUAGUUAAGUAACUUGUAGCUUAGCUUCGGAUUUUCGUAAAUUUGCAGUUCAGAACACUUCCAUAUCAGUGGCAUUGCCGAGCAAUUUGCCCAUUUCUUUUG
rnacentral:snRNA from 1 species